rnacentral:rRNA from 1 species
AGUGAACGCUGGCGGUAGGCCUAACACAUGCAAGUCGAACGGCCGCGCAGUAAGCGCUUUCUCUUACGGGUGGCGAGUGGCGGACGGGUGAGGCAUACAUCGGCAUCUACUUUUUCGUGGGUGAUAACGUAGGGCCACUUACGCUACUACCGCAUACGUCCUACGGGUGAAAGCAGGGGAUCUUCGGACCUUGCGCGAUUGAAUGAGCCGAUGUCGGAUUAGCUAGUUGGCGGGGUAAAGGCCCACCAAGGCGACGAUCCGUAGCUGGUCUGAGAGGAUGAUCAGCCACACUGGAACUGAGACACGGUCCAGACUCCUACGGGAGGCAGCAGUGGGGAAUAUUGGACAAUGGGCGAAAGCCUGAUCGAGCAAUACCGCGUGGGUGAAGAAGGCCUUCGGGUUGUAAAGCCCUGUUGUUGGGAAAGAAAAGAAGCGGGUGAAAACAUGGAUGUUUUGACGGUACCCAAAGAAUAAGCAACGGCUAACUUCGUG